rnacentral:rRNA from 1 species
AUACGGAGGAUCCGAGCGUUAUCCGGAUUUAUUGGGUUUAAAGGGUGCGCAGGCGGCCAUUUAAGUCAGCGGUUAAAUCGUGGGGCUCAACCCCAUUCUGCCGUUGAUACUGGGUGGCUUGAUUGCGGUCGAGGUUGGCGGAAUUCGUUGUGUAGCGGUGAAAUGCAUAGAUAUGACGAAGAACACCGAUUGCGUAGGCAGCUGACCAGAUCGCAAAUGACGCUCAUGCACGAAAGUGCGGGGAUCGAACAGGAUUAGAUACCCUGGUAGUCCGCACAGUAAACGAUGAAUACUUGUUUUCGGUGAUAUAAUGUCGGAGGCAAAGCGAAAGCGAUAAGUAUUCCACCUGGGGAGUACGCCGGCAACGGUGAAACUCAAAGGAAUUGACGGGG